GUUUCUAUAGUUUAAGGUAAAAUGUUAAAUUGCAAGUUUAAAGAUAUAUUGUAUUAGAAGUU
rnacentral:tRNA from 1 species